rnacentral:rRNA from 1 species
GUCGAGGGGCAGCGGGGUAGGAAGCUUGCUUUCUGCCGCCGGCGACCGGCGCACGUGUGAGUAACACGUAUGCAACCUGGCCGUGACAGAUGGAUAACCGGGAGAAAUCCCGCCUAAUACAACAUAAUGCCGGGAGGGGACAUCCCCUGCCGGCCAAAGGGGGCGACCCCGGUCACGGAUGGGCAUGCGGCGCAUUAGGUAGUUGGUGGGGCAACGGCCCACCAAGCCGACGAUGCGUAGGGGUUCUGAGAGGAAGGUCCCCCACAUUGGAACUGAGACACGGUCCAAACUCCUACGGGAGGCAGCAGUGAGGAAUAUUGGUCAAUGGCCGGAAGGCUGAACCAGCCAAGUCGCGUGAGGGAAUAAGGCCCUACGGGUCGUAAACCUCUUUUGCCAGGGAGCAAUGCCGUCCACGUGUGGACGGAAGGAGAGUACCUGGAGAAAAAGCAUCGGCUAACUCCGUGCCAGCAGCCGCGGUAAUACGGAGGAUGCGAGCGUUAUCCGGAUUUAUUGGGUUUAAAGGGUGCGUAGGCGGCCUGCCAAGUCAGCGGUAAAAUUGCGGGGCUCAACCCCGUACAGCCGUUGAAACUGCCGGGCUCGAGUGGGCGAGAAGUAUGCGGAAUGCGUGGUGUAGCGGUGAAAUGCAUAGAUAUCACGCAGAACCCCGAUUGCGAAGGCAGCAUACCGGCGCCCGACUGACGCUGAGGCACGAAAGUGCGGGGAUCAAACAGGAUUAGAUACCCUGGUAGUCCGCACAGUAAACGAUGAAUGCUAGCUGUCCGGGGGGAUUGACCCCUGGGUGGCACAGCGAAAGCGUUA